CUGAAACACUCUAAGAACUGUAGACUUUUCCCAAAAUCUCUAGAAGAGGAUAAAGUAUAACUAGGAAAAAAAAUAAGCCAUUUGUAAAGAAGAAUCAUAAGUUUUACUGAUACUUAAAAUUGAAACUUUCCUUGGGAUUACUUACAGGCUAUGCUGACUGACCUAGUGACCAAAGCCCUCACCAUCGUCCCUCCCCCCACAAUGCUAAUGAGACUGUUUCCUAUAAUAUCCUGAUAUGUAGGCUGAUGGCAUAUUAGGAAAAUUAGCAAAGUACAGCAAAAGGUAAAGUGCAAAAAAAAAAAAAAAGAAAGAAACCAUCUCAGGUAUAUAUUAAUAGCUUUCCCAGAUGGUCUGACAUAAUACAAGUAUAACAUUCAAAGUAUCAAAUGGAUGCAUUGCUGGUCUUUAGGCCCUUCCUGAAAUAUCUAUAUUUUAGUUACAAUUGAACUUUUGAUAGGAAAUGAGCAGUUAUAAUCACUCUCUGCCAAGAAUCUGGGGUGCAGCUUUUCUGUAUCAACACCAUAUGACUUGAGGCUCAACCAACUGUCUUCUUACAGGCCAUCUGUCUGACUUGAUAGCAUUCAUGUGUCAGGGCAGCACCCCCUCCUCGCACCUGGCUGGGCCUGCAGAACCAGCCUUGCCCCAGGGCUCUCCACCUUGCACUCUACCUUCCAGUCAAGCCCCACACCCCCAAGUGCCACCCGGCUGCCUGGACAUGGAGAUCUCUUGUUUUGUCAUACACAGAACCUCUUCCUCUCUGUUCCUCUGGGAGCUGCGCCCUACUUUCCUUUUUCUAAAUGGCCCUGUGAAUCUCAGAGAGUGGGUACCUCAGGCACCUAUUCAGACUCUCCUGAGAAUCUCAGGCUAGUCACAAAGAGCAAAUGACAGAGGCAGCUGAAACAUUCCAAAGACAAAAUUCUAAAGGAUGCUUCUCAAAGUUCAGCCAUCUCUGGGCUCCUGUCUUUUCCAUACCCGGCUCUUCUGUUCUUCCUUGGAUUCUGACUGAUUCAUUUUUCUCCCAAUCUGUUAUCAGGCAUAGUGGCACAGACCAGCCGAACGCUCACAUUACCGCACUCCCGAGGGUGAACAGCCUCCUGUGCCCAUCACCCUCUCUGGGCCGCAGGCUGCCUCAGGCCACCCGUCCCCUGAGCAGUGACCACCCGGAAGGCACCUGCCUCUGCCGCCGCAGAUUCCCACCCCUCUGCAGUUCAGUGUGAGCGCGGAGCUGGUUGGGUUGGGAAUAGGGGAAGCCUCCCUUCCCGCAGCGUGUAGCGGGCAGCAUCGGAGAUGGGGGGAAGAAGGGGCGGCGGCCGGAGGUCCAAGGGAAGCAACGCCCUCCUUUGCGCUGCAUCGGUGGCCGCUCCAACCCUGGGUGUGGCCUUGUCGGGGCAGGUUUCUCCGGAGCUGCUGAACCCUGCCACUUUGAAAUAGGGGGAAGGGGACUCCUGCUGGCGUCCUCAGCACUUCAAGGGGCGAAAUGUUACUGAACAUACGAAUAAAAUUCCC
rnacentral:lncRNA from 1 species